UAAAACUGUUUUUCUUGAGUAUCGGAGAGGAAAGUGGAAUUCCUAGUGUAGCGGUGAAAUGCGUAGAUAUUAGGAGGAACACCAGUGGCGAAGGCGACUUUCUGGACGACAACUGACGUUGAGGCACGAAAGUGUGGGGAGCAAACAGGAUUAGAUACCCUGGUAGUCCACACCGUAAACGAUGGAUACUAGGUGUAGGAUGUAUUAAGCAUUCUGUGCCGCCGCUAACGCAUUAAGUAUCCCACCUGGGGAGUACGACCGCAAGGUUGAAACUCAAAGGAAUUGACGGGGGCCCGCACAAGCAGUGGAGUAUGUGGUUUAAUUCGAAGCAACGCGAAGAACCUUACCAGGGCUUGACAUAUACAGGAAUAACUAAGAGAUUAGUUAGUUCUUCGGAACUUGUAUACAGGUGGUGCAUGGUUGUCGUCAGCUCGUGUCGUGAGAUGUUGGGUUAAGUCCCGCAACGAGCGCAACCCCUGUGAUUAGUUGCCAGCACAUAAUGGUGGGAACUCUAAUCAGACUGCCGGUGAUAAAUCGGAGGAAGGUGGGGAUGACGUCAAAUCAUCAUGCCCUUUAUGUCCUGGGCUACACACGUACUACAAUGGCCGCAACAGAGGGAAGCAAAAUAGUGAUAUGGAGCAAAACCCUAAAAACGGUCUCAGUUCGGAUUGAAGGCUGAAAUUCGCCUUCAUGAAGCUGGAAUUGCUAGUAAUGGCAGGUCAGCAUACUGCCGUGAAUACGUUCCCGGGCCUUGUACACACCGCCCGUCACACCAUGAGAGUUGGGAAUACCCGAAGCCUGUGAGUUAACUAUAUGAGGCAGCAGUCGAAGGUAGAAUCAAUGAUUGGGGUGAAGUCGUAACAAAGGUAGCCGUAAGCC
rnacentral:rRNA from 1 species